rnacentral:rRNA from 1 species
UACGUAGGUGGCAGGCGUUGUCCGGAUUUACUGGGCGUAAAGCGUGCGCAGGCGGAAGGUUAAGUAGGAAGUGAAAGGUUGGAGCUCAACUCCGACACUGCUUCCUAUACUGGCCUUCUUGAGUGGCGGAGAGGAAGAUGGAACGACACGUGUAGCGGUGAAAUGCGUUGAUAUGUGUCGGAACACCAAUGGCGAAAGCAAUCUUCUGGACGCAAACUGACGCUCAUGCACGAAAGCCAAGGUAGCAAACAGG